rnacentral:rRNA from 1 species
UAGAUAAUAUUCCGCAAUGGGCGAAAGCCUGACGGAGCGACGCCGCGUGCAGGAAGAAGGCCUUCGGGUUGUAAACUGCUUUUGCGUGGGAAGAAGGCCGCAAGGCCAUUGACGGUACCACGAGAAUAAGGGGUUGCUAACUCUGUGCCAGCAGCAGCGGUAAUACAGAGACCCCGAGCGUUAUCCGGAAUUACUGGGCGUAAAGCGCAAGUAGUCGGUUUUUAUAGUCUGAUGUUAAAUCCCAUGGCUCAACUGUGGGACCGCAUCGGAAACGUAAAGACUAGAGCGAAUCAGAGGCAAGCGGAACGUGUGGUGUAGCGGUGAAAUGCAUUGAUAUCACACGGAACACCAAAAGCGAAGGCAGCUUGCUGGGGUUUUGCUGACGAUCAGUUGCGAAAGC